rnacentral:rRNA from 1 species
UACGAAGGGUGCAAACGUUGCUCGGAAUCAUUGGGCGUAAAGCGCACGUAGGCGGCCUGGUAAGUCGGAUGUGAAAUCCCGCGGCUCAACCGUGGAAGUGCAUCCGAAACUGCUUGGCUCGAGUAUGGAAGAGGGUCGUAGAAUUCCCGGUGUAGAGGUGAAAUUCGUAGAUAUCGGGAGGAAUACCAGUGGCGAAGGCGGCGACCUGGGCCAAUACUGACGCUGAGGUGCGAAAGCGCGGGGAGCGAACGGG